GAUGAACGCUGGCGGCGUGCCUAAUACAUGCAAGUCGAGCGAACAGACGAGGAGCUUGCUCCUCUGACGUUAGCGGCGGACGGGUGAGUAACACGUGGAUAACCUACCUAUAAGACUGGGAUAACUUCGGGAAACCGGAGCUAAUACCGGAUAAUAUAUUGAACCGCAUGGUUCAAUAGUGAAAGACGGUUUUGCUGUCACUUAUAGAUGGAUCCGCGCCGCAUUAGCUAGUUGGUAAGGUAACGGCUUAACAAGGCGACGAUGCGUAGCCGACCUGAGAGGGUGAUCGGCCACCCUGGAACUGAGACACGGUCCAGACUCCUACGGGAGGAAGCAGUAGGGAAUCUUCCGCAAUGGGCGAAAGCCUGACGGAGCAACGCCGCGUGAGUGAUGAAGGUCUUCGGAUCGUAAAACUCUGUUAUUAGGGAAGAACAAAUGUGUAAGUAACUAUGCACGUCUUGACGGUACCUAAUCAGAAAGCCACGGCUAACUACGUG
rnacentral:rRNA from 1 species